AACGCACCUUGCGCUCCUUGGUAUUCCGAGGAGCAUGCCUGUUUGAGUGUCAUGAAUUUCUCAACCUUUCUAGCUUUUUCAGCUGGUUAGGCUUGGAUCUUGGAAGUUGCUGGCUUCUCACGAAUCAGCUCUUCUUAAAUAUAUUAGCAAAGACCUUUGCUGACCAUCUUUGGUAUGAUAAUUAUCUAUAUCAUUGAUAACCAGCUUCCUUUAUGGAGAGGUUUUGCUUCUAAUAGUCGUUUGACAACUUGACAAUUUGACCUCAAAUCAGGUAGGACUACCCGCUGAACUUAA
rnacentral:misc_RNA from 1 species